GGUUGCAAGAAUGAGAACAUUUAUACAUACCAUUUUGCUGAUCAUUCUUUAUCUACAAGGUAAGUUUAUAAUGUAAAGUUAUAUCUAAAAAUGAAGAGACGUGGCAUUAUUGCCAAUGACACAAAUCUCCAUCACUGAAUAAAGGAUGAGGAUGUUAACAACUAUAAGUCAACGUACGGUCUUCAACAAUGAGUAAAAACCAUACCGUACAGUAAGCUAUAAUAGGCCCGACAUGACAACAAUAUACUAUGAAAACUCAGAAUUUUUUUUGGAAAUACACAAUGUUGUGUCUGUAACUAUCCCAGCAAUGUCAUUUCAAGCAAAACAGAUUCCAUAAAUUUCAAUAUUGUGCAUCCAUUUGUGGUACUGAUAGUGGCGAAACAUUAUUUAUUUUUCUUCUUCAAAGUUCAAGUUAACAUACGAGUUCGAGUUAUGAUUUUAACUGUAGUCAUACGAUAACGACAUCUUUAUUUACGAAAUAAUGUUGUAAAUUUAUCAGCUUUUGCCUAAAAAGGUUAUGAAAUUCUGAAUGAUCUUUAUGAAUACAGAUUGUACAUGUAUAUGACACUGAUGUCUGUGAGUUUGCAAUGGUAUUACAUAGGCAUUUAUAAUAAAGUAUUCAAGUAUGACGUAAGUUUUAUUUCCCCUAAAUUAUCAUUUUCAAGUUUUUGAUUUUUAAUCAACGUUCGAGUUAUGCUUGUCUUAGAAUUAGAUUAGAAUAAUGUUCGAGUUAAAUGUCUUUUCAAAUAAAAGUUUGAGUACGAGAUUGCGAGGAUUUUUCAGUAUCAGUUCGAGAUAGUACGACAGCUAAAAUUGAUACAGUGCAUUGAUCCAAAUAUUCGUCACCUUCAAUUUUAACGCUGUAUAUUUCAGAAGACAAACAUUAAAAUAAGGAUGAUGUGGGCUGAUUUCUGUUCAGAUUUUAAUUAACCCUUACCAUGCGGUGACCGUCAUAUGACGGGCUUACCAAAAUAACCGUUAUUUGGCUCCAAUGGCUCUCCAUACUUUAAGAGGUCAACUGCAUGAUAUCUAUUUCGAAAUUGAUGCAUGUUCCCUCAACCUGAGGCUAUUUAUUGUCAUGUUUCUGAUGUUCCCUCAACCUGAGGCUAUUUAUUGUCAUGUUUCUGAUGUUCCCUCAACCUGAGGCUAUUUAUUGUCAUGUUUCUGAUCCUGAGGCUAUUUAUUGUCAUGUUUCUGAUGUUCCCUCAACCUGAGGCUAUUUAUUGUCAUGUUUCUGAUGUUCCCUCAACCUGAGGCUAUUUAUUAUAUUGUUUCUCAUGUUCCCUCAACCUGAGGCUAUUUAUUGUCAUGUUUCUGAUGUUCCCUCAACCUGAGGCUAUUUAUUGUCAUGUUUCUGAUGUUCCCUCAACCUGAGGCUAUUAUUGUCAUGUUGUCUGAUGUUCCCUCACCUGACUAUUUAUUAUUUGUUUCUCAUGUUCCCUCACCUGAGGCUAUUUAUUGUCAUGUUUAUGAUGUUCCCUCACCUGAGGCUAUUUAUUGUCAUGUUUCUGAUGUUCCUCAACUGAGGCUAUUAUUGUCAUGUUUCUGAUGAUUCCCCUCAACCUGAGGCUAUUUAUUGUCUUUCUGAUGUUCCCUCAACCUGAGGCUAUUUAUUGUCAUGUUUCUGAUGUUCCCUCAACCUGAGGCUAUUUAUUGUCAUGUUUCUGAUGUUUAAGGUGCAUUUUGAACUCAAAUACGAACUUGGAAAAUUGAAAUCGGAUAAGUGGUUUUUCUGGAGGGGUGGGCUUCCCUUCGGUGUCUGACAAAGGCAGUUCAGUAUGGCAUGGUAUUGGUUGCAAAAAUUGAUAUUUUUCAUUUAAAUGCAAUAUUUUUUAUUUAAUUGGUAUAUUUCUUCAUCUAAAUGCAAUAUUUUUUUAUUUGAAUGGUAUUUUUUUUUCAUUUAAAUGCAAUAUUUUUUAUUCAAAUGGUAUAAUUUGUCAUUCAAAUGCAAUAUUUUUUAUUCAAUUGGUAUAUUUAUUCAUUCAAAUGCAAUAUUUUUUUAUUUGAAUGGUAUAUUUUUUCAUUUAAAUGCAAUAUUUUUUAUUUAAAUGGUAUAAUUUGUCAUUCAAAUGCAAUAUUUUUUAUUCAAUUGGUAUAUAUAGUAGUUUUUUUUUAUUUAUAUGCAAUAAUUGCAUUAUGGGAAAUUCUUUGACGUCAUAAGGUCAAAUUUGCAACAACAUUUGUGAUUUGGAUUUUCCCCCUUUCUUUCUAAACAUGAGUGACCAAGUAUUAAAAAACGCGUCAGAAUAUCGCCCCCUAACUAAAUCUUGCGUUCGUGCGAGUCCUGCACUGGUUGUUAAAAUCUUAUGGUCCUUACUAUUAUUUCUAUUGCAAAAUUUCGAUGGUCAAUACGUUCGGGACCACCACUUUUUAAAAACUUUCUUUGUAUAUGGAUCUAUAUGCAAGUAUUAUUAUUAUUAGUAUAUCGUUUUUUUAAAUAGAUUAGGCACCGUUGGUUUUCCCGUUUGAAUGGUUUUACACUGUCAUUUUUGGGGGGCCCUUUAUAGCUUGCUGUUCGGUGUGAGUCAAGGCUCUGUGUUGAAGACCUUACUUUGACCUAUAAUAUAUAUAUACAUUUACAAAUUAUGACUUGGAUGGGAGAGUUGUCUCAUUGGCACUCAUACCACAUCUUCUUAUAUCUAUAUACAACGUAAACCAGACGUUUCUCAGACUGUUUUCUUUUUUAAUAAAUCCUUUGCCGCGCGUUGUGAACUGAUUGAUACUUCAGUCUGGGAGAACAAGAUUUAUUUCAGUAUUAGUUGUAAUAGCUUUAAGCAAACUUCCAGUAAUUGCAAAUAUUCUUAUGUCGGUGCUUUGUGUCUAUUGUCUUAAUGUUAUUUUUUUUUAUGUGUCUCAUACCGAUCUUUUGAGUUAAUCUAAUUGCAACUGAUUAGUGCAGGUUGUGCUUUGAUGAUACUGUUACACCACUGUCCCAGCUUCGGGAUGGGUUGAGUGCUAACAAACAUGUUGUUGUACUGUUACACCACUGUCCCAGGUUAGGGGGAGGAUUGGAAUCCCACUAACAUGUUUAACUUCGCUACAUUCUGUAUGUAUGUGCUUGUCCCAAGUCAGGAGCCUGUAAUUCAGUGGUUGCCGUGUGUGUUUAUACAUAUUUGUGUUUCGUUCAUUUUUUUGUACAUUAAUUCGGCCGUUAGUUUUCUUGUUUAAAUUGUUUUACAUUUGUGAUUUCGGGGCCUUUUAUAGUCUACUAUGCGGUAGGCUUUGCUUAUUGUGGAAGGCCGUACGGAGACUUAUAUAGCUGUUGAUUUCUGUUUAAUUUGGUCUCUUGUGGAGAGUUGUCUCAUUUGCAACCAUACUGUACUACAUCUUCGUUUUUGUACCAACCCUGCCAUUUCUUUAUUUGCCUGUCUCAGGUCAGGAGCCUGUAGUUAAGUGGUUGUCGUUGGUUCAUGUCUCGACUCAUAUUUAAUAUUUUGUAAAUUGUUUUGUUAUGUAUAAUAAGCCGUUAGUUUUUUCGUUUGAAUUGUUCACACUUUUCAUGUCGGGCCUUUUAUAGACGACUUUACAGUAUAAGGUUUUUGUCAUUGUUGAAGGCCUUACGAUUGUCUAUAAUUGCUUACAUCCACUUCAUAUUUGAACUCCGAUGGAUAGUUGCCUUAUUAGCAAUCAUAUCCCAUCCCUUCGUUUUUAUAUUAUAUACCUGACUUCUAAACUCGUGUUUUCCUGAACAAGCAUGAAAUAUUUGUCACUGGGCGUUAAAAAUUAGCAGCAAACAUUCAAUCAAUUUAAACUUGUGUUAAAUAAGAGGAAAACCAUUUAAUAUUUAUUUAUUUAUUGGGGUGGGGGACAGAAGGAUUUCAUAUAUGAAUAUGGUUGCCUGGUGAGAGCUGAAAAAUAGGCAUGAUAAGCGACAGAUUAAAAUGAAUAAUAAUGUCCUCUCUUCCCUUCCCCAUCCUUCAUAUAUAAAUUUAAACUGACCACCACGGAAUAGCCCAAUAGUGUUGAAAAUAGCGUUAAAUACCAAUCAAUCAAAAUCCCUUCCCUAGAAUAUCAAAUAAUCGUCCCUUACUACUGUUAUUGUCCGUGUAGUUCUUAUAUUUAUCCAGCUUAUCGUCCUACAGGGAUGUCUAACUAAGGUUGUCAUACCAUAAAAACGUUUAUAACACAGCCGCAUUCAUAAACGUAUUAAUGUUAUUUAGACUAAACGACGCCAUGUUUGUUAUGUGCCUCUGCCGUCUAAAGAACCUAUAAAAAAAGAAGAGGUGGAAGAGAGCCAGAAGAUCUUCCCAAUGCAAAAAUGCAGAAAUGGACUUCUUCUGGCUCACUACCGAAGAACAAAAAAACGCUUCCAAUUUAUAUGUUUUAAAAACGCCUUGCUCCUACCCCUUUUUCCAAAAAAAUUGGCAUUGUUAAAUAUAUAUACAUAUAUAUAAUCAUCAUUAAAAUGCUUUUGUAUUUUUAUAAGACCUACUUUAUUACAUGAUCUGGGACUAAUGACAUCUAUCUAUAAGUCCAAGCAUACAGUAAAUUAUUAUAAUAUGAAUAUGUUUCUUUUAAUAACCACAUAUGAUGCUAGUAUGCAUGAGUCACCAUUUAUCAGGACAUAAAUUGGGUUUACAUAGAGAGAAUAGUGUGCAAAAAUAGAUAAGGGGCGGGACCAAACCUAUAGAUAACAUAAUAAAGAAAUGAUGAAAUAUAAAGAAUACGUUGAUUGUUUUUUUUGUUUACUUAUGUCCAGUGGCAAAUAUUUCACGCAUGUUUAGGACAAAUAUAAUAGAGAUCAAAGGAUAAAGAAUAGAGUGAAAUGGUCAAAACUAAAAGAUAUAGAAUUAUAGAAACAAUCUUUGAUCUGAACCCCCUCUCCCCCCCUCUCACACACACACCAUAACCAUUACUGCCAAUACUUGCAUAUAUACAUCUCUAUACAAAUAUCUAAAUCUGAACCCCUCUCCCCUAGACACCGAGGUUCUGGAUCCGCCCCUGUUAAAUGUAUCUUAUUACAUAUGUAGGACUCUAAAGUACGAUGGGGACGCUAAAGUACGAUGGUCACGCUAAAGUGCGAUGGUUUACGCUAAAGUCCGAUGCUUCCAUACGCUUAAGUCCGAUGGUCUGCGAAAAUAUAGACGUUAGAAACGAACUUUGAUAAUGACGAUUAAAGUCGUUUAUAGAUACAAACCAAAAAUGAACAUGCGGGAAGAUAAAUUAAGAAUAUUUGAUUAACAACUUUUACACCAAAUGUCCAUGACUUACUAGUAAUUCAUUUAAACUUAACCGUUCUUUGUCGGCUGAAGCACAAUGUUUUUUUUUCGAGUGAUGAAAGACGGACUUGCAUCCUACAGUCAACCAUUUUACUUAAAAAUGUAUAGAUACAAAAUAUAAUACGCAUACGUAUCCUGUAUCCUGCUUCUAUUUGAAGCGAUCGGAUACAUUUCAAUCAUUGUUUAUGUGGCAGUUUCCUUUGCAUGCGAUCACCGUUAAAGUACUGUCGAUUUUAAUGAAAAGUAACGUCGGUAUAAUAGAGGUACAUGUUUUCAUGCGUAAAUUAAAAAUUGUCUGCUAAAGCUUAUACAAAUAAAAGUUGUAUAUUCCGACAAUGAACGAAUUUUGUCAUUGUAAUUUUCAAUGACGACUGUAAGGGAGGUUGUCACAUUAGUGUGAACGGCAAAAUACACCAAUUAUCCAAAUAUUGAAUCGCUCCGAAUUGUUACAAUUUCAUUUUACAGGAUAUAUAGUAUAAUGUGACACUUAAAUACCUUUUUAGCAAUUAUAACGUGGUCGGUCUUCCAAAUUUAGAAACAAUCACUUAAGCCUUUCUGUAAUCAUAAAGGCUAUCACAUAUGUUUUUCCUUAACAUACUAGCUUUUGAUAAAAGACUAUUUUUAACCUCGGUGUACUUUAACGUUUUAAUCCCACGAAUCUUACCCUUUUGGUCCAUCGCACUUUAGCGUGAUAUACUAUCGUGCUUUAGCGAACAAACAAGCAUCGCACUUUAGCGUGAUACACCAUCGUACUUUAGCCUAGACCAUCGUACUUUAGCGUGACCAUCGCACUUUAGAGUACCAUCGCACUUUAGAGUCCUACAUAUACAUUUUGUACUGGUCUAGAUAAUAGUUAAACGUACAAUCCUAUAAUUUGUUGGAUACAAAUCAUUAGAGAUAUAAGAGAUUUGUAUCUUAUUAUAUUAUAUACUGAGUAAAAAAAUAAACUUGUAUACCCUCCCCCCCGUUUUUCCAAAUGCAGUAUUGAAAAGUAAAUCGUUUAAAAGUCCUGAAGAAAAAAUAUGUUUUGAAAAAUGCCCUGCAUACUUAUUUAUGCAAAGACAUAUAGUAAUUAUUGAACAGCUGUGGGGCUUGAAAAAAAAUUUCUAUUUAAGAGAUUCGGAGAUGGUAACAGUAAAAAAAGCUCAGCAACGAAUCCUAAAUGUAAAAUGAUUUGCGGCAUAAGACAUGAGAGUACAUAUUAUAGAUAGUCCAAAAUAUGAAGAUCACGCCUUAUACAGUGUACGUCCUAUGUCAUAGGACUAUUGUUGUAACAUGUGUUAGUUACUGGUUCCAAUUUAUUCCGAAUUGUCUUUAUUAAAGAAUUAGUUCGGGAGUAUCACGGGCUCAGGUCUCUUCUUGUGGGUCUCUGGUUCUGCUGUCGUAAUUAGGGGAUUUUUUUCUACAUGAAGCAAAAAAGAGGGGGCUUAGUCCAAAUAAUUAUAACGUCCUGGAAGGUUUUUAUUCUUUUUUAUGUUUGCCUUUCUGCAACGUCUCUGCGGAUCAAGAAAAGUAAAAAAUAGUAUAGCAUCAAAGAACGUCACGAUUACAUGUAUCUGGACUUAGAGGGGAGGAGGGCUAGCUAUGUAUUUUUUUUAAUUUCAAUGUGUAGACUGUAGGGGAGUUUCUUCAGAAAGGGUUUUCAUUGGAGGUGUUUUGCCAUGCACGCAGGCAUCUGUCUCUAUCAGUGUUGACAUGAAUAUCAAUUAUGUGGUCAUUUUUAUAAAUUUCCUGUUUACAAAACUUUGAAUUUUUAGAAAAACUAAGGAUUUUCUUAUCCCAGGAAUAGAUUACCUUAGUUAGCCGUAUUUGGCACAACUUUUUUGGAAUUUUGGAUCCUCAAUGCUCUUCAACUUUGUAUUUGUUUGGCUUUACAACUAUUUUGAUAUAAUUGUCACUGAUGAGUCUUAUGUAGACGAAACGCGAAUCUGGCGUACUAAAUUAUAAUCAUGGUACCUUUGAUAACUAUUUACACCACUGGGUCGAUGUCACUGCUGGUGGACGUUUCGUCCCCGAGGGUAUCACCAGCCCAGUAGUCAGCACUUCAGUGUUGACAUGAAUAUCAAUUAUGUGGUCAUUUUUAUAAAUUUCCUGUUUACAAAACUUUGAAUUUUUAGAAAAAACUAAGGAUUUUCUUAUCCCAGGAAUAAAUUACCUUAGCCGUAUUUGGCACAACUUUUUGGAAUUUUGGAUCCUCAAUACUCUUCAACUUUGUAUUUGUUUGGCUUUACAACUAUUUUGAUAUGAGCGUCACUGAUGAGUCUUAUGUAGACGAAACGCGCGUCUGGCGUACUAAAAUAUAAUCCUGGUACCUUUGAUAACUAUUUACACCACUGGGUCGAUGCCACUGCUGGUGGACGUUUCGUCCCCGAGGGUAUCACCAGCCCAGUAGUCAAACAUUCAGUGUUGACAUGAAUAUCAAUUAUGUGGUCAUUUUUAUAAAUUUCCUGUUUACAAAACUUUGAAUUUUUAAGAAAAGUUAAGGAUUUUCUUAUCCCAGGAAUAGAUUACCUUAGCCGUAUUUGGCACAACUUUUUUGAAUUUUGGAUCCUCAAUGCUCUUCAACUUUGUAUUUGUUUGGCUUUACAACUAUUUUGAUAUGAGCGUCACCGAUGAGUCUUAUGUAGACGAAACGCGCGUCUGGCGUACUAAAUUAUAAUCCUGGUACCUUUGAUAAUUAUUUACACCACUGGGUCGAUGCCACUACUGGUGGACGUUUCGUCCCCGAGGGUAUCACCAGCCCAGUACUCGGCACUUCAGUGUUGACAUGAAUAUCAAUUAUGUGGUCAUUUUUAUAAAUUUCCUGUUUACAAAACUUUGAAUUUUUAAACUAUCCAUGAACAGGUUGUGUGUCAAAAUAAUUAUAAGGACUUGUCACUCGCAUUUUAUGCUCGACCUGGCCAUUAUCACGGUAGGUAUAGUGUCCGGCUAGGAUCGUGGUUUUUCGAGUGAUUCGGUCCAUUUUUUUCGAGUGUAGUUCGGGCUUUUUCGAGUGAUAAAACAUGCGAUAAGUUCAAUUAACGGAUAUUUCGUGCUUCUAGUAGUUUUUAACAUUACUACCCAUCUUAUAUUGAAGACUAUACAUGUUUUGAUCAACAAAGAAGCACAAUUUCCUUGUAUUUAAACCAAAAAAAUCAGUGUUUGUUAUUGUCCGGGUUUUUUCGAGAGCAACUGUGAAAUCGUCCGGGUUUUUAGACAAAUGGUCCGGGUUUUUUACAGAAAAUUUGAAUAACAAAAAAGGUAUUCUAGACUUUAAAAAUGACUUUUUCUAGUUUUUUACUGUAAUUAAGUGAAGGAAAAUAUCAUAUAUCAGUGUAUAUUCCAAAUAAAUUGUCAAAAAAUAUUACUUCGUUUAUCAAAAUGAAGCUUUUUUUUCAAUUAAAUGCAAAUUUUCUGUUCGGAAAGCGUUCUACAACUACAUUCCAGUGUUCAUAUAGCAAUUACUUGUCUUGAUCCCUUCAAAACGGUCUUUAGAACACAGUGCAGAGGACUCGUAUUCAUUUUAACUUCAUUUCAUGCUACAUUUGAUUUUACAGUUAAUGAUAUUUCUUGUGGUUAAACCCGGAGAUUAAAAAAAGGAGAAGGAAACCUAAUAGACAGCAGUGAAGAAUCAGAAAAAUGCUAUGUAAUAAAAGAUAUUCUACAAAAAGAGGCCUGCACCCGUCCCCAUAUAGAAUCCAUUAAUAAAAAUUAAAUACACACACAUUCCAAGUAUUGUUCGUUGUAUCAAAUGACUUUAAUAUGUAUUCCAACAUUGGUAAUAACACACCUGGUUUCAUUACUUUUUGGUAUAGCGGACGGUGUCGAUAAAAGUACUGUCUUAUUUGGAACGACAAAGUUUAUUUUUGAGUUAAUUGGGUCACAAUUCCCCCUGUCUUCUGUUUGUUUUUUUACCAGGCCCUGGUUUCCUAGACCUCUCAUGAAAUUAAGAAAUUUUCCAUGAAACAAUCUGAAUCCAACUUGCCAAAAAUUUCUUGUAAUUGUUGUGUACCUCAUUUGACAAGUAUUUUCAACCGAAAACCACUUAACGACGUCUAGAAAACAGCAAAAAGGAAAUGUUAUUCGUGGGGAACUUGUCCUGUUUCAAAAGUUUAAAGAAACAUUCUAGAUUUUCUCGUCUAUCAUCAGAGGUCGGAACAUGAGUCAGUAGUGAAGAAAUUGUGUUGUCACUAUACCUUGAAAUCUGUUUAAUAUGUUGGUUGGUUAUCUCUUUUUUAUUAUUCUCUUCAGAGUUUUGAUGUAUUUCCAAUGUUUCAUUUUCAGCUGGCAAAAUACAUACCAUAGAAUCCUUUGGUCGUAACCAGAUAGAUUGAUCAGGAACGACAUUGUAAUGUUUUGAUAGAUAUCCAUAUUGUCCAUUUCUUAAGCACUUUUCUCUUAUUGAAAGGAAGUUCUCAUGGUGUUUUAUUGCUGUAUGACCAAUUAUGAGAUAUGCGUAAUCAGACUCCUCCUCGCAGUAAUAUAGCAUUUAAACAUUCUCCCAUUCUACUAUUUAGUCAGACGUCACAUAAUUUAAUUGAUUGUAUGCUGGUUCAUAUUCUGGACGCCAGUCUUUGCUCCUUUCUAAUAAAAAAUAAAAUAAAAUAAAAAAUGACAUCGGACUCGGACUUCUCUUGAACUGACUUUUAAUGUGCGUAUUGUUAUGCGUUUACUUUUCUACAUUGGCUAGAGGUAUAGGGGGAGGGUUGAGAUCUCAUUAACAUGUUUAACCCCGCCGCAUUUUUGAGCCUGUCCCAAGUCAGGAGCCUCUGGCCUUUGUUAGUCUUGUUUUAUUUUUACUUUUAGUUUCUUGUGUAUAAUUUGGAGUUUAUUAUGACGUCCAUUAUCACUGAACUAGUAUAUAUAUUUAUUUAGGGGCCAGCUGAAGGACGCCUCCGGAUGCGGGAAUUUCUCGCUGCAUUGAAGACCUAUUGGUGACCUUCUGUUGUUGUCUGUUCUGUGGUCGGGUUGUUGUCUCUUUGACACAUUCCCCAUUUCCAUUCUCAAUUUUAUUAUCGCUUUCCAUUUUUCUAAAACAAUAAAAUAAAGUAUACAAGACACGAGACAGAUAGUUAAUAAAAUAUUUAGGAUGCAUACUCUUUUAAAAACAAACAUAUAUGUCUCACCUCACACAAUAUAUGUGUGUACGUCUCAAUCUGAUUUUUAUAUGCUUACAUUAGACUGUUGACACCACGAAUAUACAUGUAUACUGUACAUGCAAUUUAUAAGAUAUGAGAAACAACAAUAUAUACAAAUGAACGAUACUUGUUUAUAAAAUGUGUGUGUUAAUACACCAUGUGCCUUGAAAGUACUUGAUUUGACAUUUUUAUCUAUAGUUUUUAAACGUAAAUACACCAACACAUAACAUUUUUCGCUAUAAGAAAUGUGAAUAAUCACUCGAUAAAAAACAGACGCACUCGAAAAAGUCCGGACUGCUCACGAAAAAGCCCGGACAUAACAAAAUGAAUUUAGUCUCAAAAUGUCGUUUUCAAUGCAAUAAGAAUAGUUUUUGUAAAGUGUCUGUAUAUCUAAGGAUAUAUAGAUUCCAUGUAUGUAUUUCCUUCGACAUUUACAUUGGUAUGUGUAUAAAAAUGGGUUUAUUCUGUAUUUUUGAAUAAAAGCAUUGUAAGGCUAAAUUUAACUUUUAAACGAAAAACAAUGUCAGAAUGAUGAUAACUUUUUAUCUCAAAUACUAACAUACCUUGUAUAACCUUGUAUAUUAACCUCAAGCUUGUAUAUCAGUUCUUGUCAGAAAGGAAGUCUGUUUGUUUACAUUUUUGAUCACAAUCACUCUAAAAAAAGUGGUCACACUCGAAAAAGCCCGAACAAAUCACUCGAAAAACCACGAUCCUAGCCGGACACUAUACCUACCGUGAUUAUUGGCAUUAACAGCCAGUGCACGAACUCGCACGAACUCGCACGAACGCCAAAUUUAGUUAGAGGAGUGAUAUUCCGAAUGCGUUUUUUUAAUUCUUGGUCACUCAUGUUUAGAAAGAAAUGGGAGAAAUCCUAACAAUUACCGACCAAUCACAAACGUUGUUGCAAAUUUGACCUUGUAACGUCAAAAUUGACGCUUUUGCACCUGAUGAGCAAUUUUGGGGCAAAUUCACGCCCACACACCCCCCGCCUCCUCGCCCCAAACAUCCCACCCGUGAUCCCUAUCUUUGAUUUAAAGGAAUCAAUAUGCAUCAGCAGCAGGGUAAAGCGCAUUUGCAUGUUAUUUGCAUAUUUUUGCAAAUAAACGAAAAUUAUACAUUUUCUGAAAACAAUUCAGCAUGGUAAGAGUUAAGAUAAAAAAAAAUCGUUAAAGAUUAUCAAUACUUCGUUAACAUCAUAACUUAUACAUGUAAUAAGCUGAAUUCCAUGACGAUAUACCAAUAAAGUUUCGAAUUUAAAGGUUAGAGGGGCUGGAUGAUUUUUUUUUUUUUUAGAAUAGAUUAUAAAAGCAAUAAAAAUAAAAAAAGAGAAAAAACCUGGUUUUAUAGCUAGCUAAAUCUCUCAAAAAUACAAAAUUGAAGACCCCUUUUUAGGCCAUGGGUAUUCAAAAAACUUUUCAAAUACUACUAUAAUUAAAGUCAAACUCGCGGAUUGGAUGGUACACCUCAUUCCACUUGUCUGUCCGUCGGUCUGUCUGUUUGUCCUUCCGGCUGUCCGUCCGAAAUUAUUGUUGCAUAUUAUUUCGUUUCUAUAUCAUGGGAAAGCUUGAUUUAUUUACAAGUUGUAAUUAGCUUUGAACUAACUUUUAAUAACUGUGAGUACUCUCAGAUCUGUAUUGGGUGUCUUGUCUUUUCUUUGCAGCCUUCACGAAAUCUCUUUUAUAUGACAGGCCGAAAAUAAGAUUUUAACAAAAUUUCUUUAAAACUUAUUUUUCUUGUGGGCCUCGGUUUCUGGAAAAUUGCACUGACCCGUCAACAUUUUACAGAUAAUUGCUUGAAUAAGUAUUCUAAUCAAUUGGGUAACGUAUACAUUAUGAAUGCACGUGUGAUACCAAGAAUCAACAGAUAGAAAUAAAUUUAGAAACAUUCAAAAUCUGAGACGUUAAUUUUCACUUUAUCAUUAAAUAUUAAAAAAACCCGCACUUUAAUGCAUCCCUUUCAGAAGCCGUAAUGCUAAGUAAACAAAUAUCUUCAUUUGAGUACAUUAAAACCCUUUCAUCCCCAACAAGGCAUCGUUUUUUUCGGUAUUUUAAAAAUAAGUUUCACAACAAUAUGGCAGGGCGUAUGAACUAGAAAAAUUAACCCAGUCAUAAAGCGCAUAGGGCCCGGUCCCCCUGCCCCUCCUAAAUCCGCCUCUGAGUUUCUAUGCAUCGUUUUGUGCAAUCGUACCCUUUUAAAAUAGGAAAAAUACAAUUGAAACGGCGGGAAAAAAUUAAUGGAAGCCUCCGAUGAGCAAAGUUGGUACAACAGCCGUUUAUUUCAAUGUUUUAUGUUAACGUUUGAACAAGUGUCUUUUCCGGUGAAAAUCACAAACAUUUAUUCCGUGACCUCAUUUGCUAUCAUUUGCAUAUUACUGCGGAUAUGAAGGGGGCAUUUAAUUCAACAUUUCAUUGAAAGUUGUCGUUUUCUGAUUCGGAUGCUCUUAGCUUUUCUUUGCUUCAUUAUUUCUUCCUUUUGCCUGCAAACGGCCACGGAAAACAUUUUAUUCAGUCCAAAAAUGAGACCGCAUGUAAAUCACCAUUUGUUUUAUUCAUUUUUUUUAUUCUACCCUAUAAAUAAAUUGACCUUUGACGACGGCCGUCAGUUGACCAAUAAAAAUUGGGAUUCCGUUUCUUACGUCGUAAUAUCAUGUGAUAUGCCAUGUGCUUAAGAAAAAGAAAUGUGUACAUUUAGAAAACUAUGCACACAAAAUAUAUUUGAAAAGACUGAGAAUUAAUUUUUGGUGAAUGGGACAAGGUAUAUAAUGCUUCUUAUUGUAUUUCUUCAAAUAGUUAGGAACAUUCAAGUCUUUGGACUGGCAUUUUCAAAUAUGCAGAUCACAAGUAAAGUAACAGGCUACUUCAAAAUAAAUACACUAGCUAAAAUAAAUACACAUAUAUAUGUCCAGUCCUGUAACUUUGUUAUAUCAUAGAAGUAUUAUAUUAACUUUCAUCUUCUUUCCAUGAUCAUAUGUUGGAGUAAAAUGGAUUAGGAGUUGAAAAGAUUGCUAAUUAAAAUAAGAUUGUGGGCAUACAUAUGCAUUAUAUCACAAUUUUAAUGUAAAUGGAAAGGAACAUUUUCAACCUCUGUUUUAUGUAUGUUUAACAUUUAAAACAAAAAUAUUUAAAGGAAAGAACUUGCAUGACUUAUUGAUAUCUUAGUAAUUUUUUUUAUGGAAAGCUUCAGGAAAAGCAAUACAUUUUCUGAAGUUAUAUACCAAAUAAAACCCAAAGUAAUCGUAGUCGGUGCUAUGAUUUUAUUCAACCAACAUCCAAAAAUGUCCUUUUACCAAUUUUUAUACUGUAUCACUAGACACAACAAUUUUCUGGAUAAGGGUUGUGACCAAAGUUAUUAAUGCUCAAAACUGUUAUAUGAAUUAUGAAAAGUAUGACCAAAACUGACAUUACAUUAAAAUAAUUUUUAUAAAUAAGUUAUAGAUCAUAGCUUCAUAAUUCAGAUUGUGAUAUACCAAAAAAAUAAUAAGUUAUUCUGCAUAAAUUACUUCUUUUAUCACAACUAUUUCUUCCCAAAACCGCAGUAUUUUACGCAAAUAAAAAAAAAAUUGAUGAUCUAUGCGGGCCUAUUUCUAUCCUUCGUGAAACUUCUUCUUUGCACGUUUUUUUACAGCGUAGAUGUCUGAACUUUUUUAAAAUUUGUAUAAAAUGAAAAGCCAAUUAAUUUUAAAACUAAAUGCAAAUUGUAUUUUUAUUGUUUUUUGUAGGUUUGGCGAUGUUUGGAGAGCGAUGUCAAUAUAGUAUAUGUUCUUCUCCUUUUGUUUGUAAUAAUGCAAUUUGUAGUUGUCCAAAUCAGGAAUCCCAUUAUUUUGAUCUAAGAGGACAACGUUGUAAACUAAAAGGUAAGUUGAUAAGGCCAUUAUGAAAAUAUUCCCGUACCUCAACCCCUCCCCCGAUUUAUUUCAGAAGCACCCUAACAUUUUUUCAUUCUGGCUUUUCCACUUUCAGUUUGAUAGAAGUUUUCACAAAUAAUAAUAAAAAGGUAAAAAAAAAAAAAAAAAAAGAAAAGGAAACCUUGAUUUUCGCUACCCAAAGGUUACGAUCCGGAUCAUUAAUCUAAACCAUUUGCAGUUUAGGAAGUACACCACUAAUUCAUGGCCC
rnacentral:lncRNA from 1 species